CUCCCUUUCUGCUACCCUCCCCCCUUCCCAUCCAGCAAGCCUGGUGUCACAAAUUCCUGUGUUAAAGGAACAGCUUCCUUUACUAACUCCUCCCCCACUUCCUUUGUGCAACUAACAGCUCUCUAUAGAAACAUGCCACGUGUAGUAAAAUGGAGCUGGAAUGGGGAUGGGAUACAAAGAAAUGUCAUGUGAUGAUGUUAGGGUCAUGCCCAGUAGGAUGGUUUUAGACAAGACCCCUUAGACUGUUAACCAAUUGAUGAAUGUAUACUUUAUGUUAACUGUGA